rnacentral:rRNA from 1 species
CCCUUAGAUGUCCUGGGCCGCACGCGCGCUACACUGAUGCAUGCAACGAGUUUCAUUUCUCCUGGGUCGAGAGGCCCGGGUAAUCUGUUGAACGUGCAUCGUGAUAGGGAUAGAUCAUUGCAAUUAUUGAUCUUGAACGAGGAAUUCCCAGUAAGCGCGAGUCAUAAGCUCGCGUUGAUUACGUCCCUGCCCUUUGUACACACCGCCCGUCGCUACUACCGAUUGAACGGUUUAGUGAGGGCCUCGGAUUGGUCUCGGCCCGCUCUUUACCGGGCGGCGCCGUUGGUCGAGAAGACGCUCGAACUUGAUCGUUUAGAGGAAGUAAAAGUCGUAACA